rnacentral:rRNA from 1 species
CCUACGGGAGGCUGCAGUGAGGAAUAUUGGUCAAUGGGAGAGAUCCUGAACCAGCCAAGCCGCGUGAGGGAAGACGGCCCUCUGGGUUGUAAACCUCUUUUGUCGGAGAACAAAACCCGGGACGUGUCCCGGACUGCGUGUAUCCGAAGAAAAAGCAUCGGCUAACUCCGUGCCAGCAGCCGCGGUAAUACGGAGGAUGCGAGCGUUAUCCGGAUGUAUUGGGUUUAAAGGGUGCGUAGGCGGUCCGUUAAGUCCGCGGUAAAAUUGCGGGGCUCAAACCCGUCGAGCCGUUGAAACUGGCGGACUUGAGUUGGCGAGAAGUGCGCGGAAUGCGCGGUGUAGCGGUGAAAUGCAUAGAUAUCGCGCAGAACACCGAUUGCGAAGGCAGCGUACCGGCGCCAGACUGACGCUGAGGCACGAAAGCGUGGGGAUCGAACAGGAUUAGAUACCCCGGUAGUC